rnacentral:lncRNA from 1 species
GACAGACAUGAAGGCGAGGGAGAUGGCGGCGGGGGGAUAAAGCACGAAGGAGAUGGCGAGGGAGGGAAUAAUCGAUGGAUGAGUGUCGCUGCUGUGUGUUGAUUGGAGGUAGGGUUGAAGAUGAUGGAAGAAUUUCGCACGAUAAAGAGGAAUUUUGAAAGAUGAUUGAAGAUGAACCGUUAAGUUUUGAGAAAUUUGAUGCGCCUUUUUUUUCCCUUACGUGUAUUUACUUUUUUUUUUAAUUUUAUUAAUGCUGACGUGUAAUAGCUAUAUGGCACUGGCCGGAACACGUCAAAUACCGGUAAUCGGAUUAUUUUUACGGGCCAUAAAUAAGAAAAAAAUGAAACGAUGUGUAUUAUUUUGUAAAUAUACUUAGGGUGAGAUAUAUUUGAGAAGACGCCCAAACGAUGGUCCAAAAACUUAUAUUUACCAUAAUCAAAAAUAAAUUUAGCCAGCUCGUUAUCUUGUCGUGCAUGUUAAAUAUGGUCAAAGA